UCCGAGUUGACCCCGGCAGUCUCCUAUGAGUCCCCGGCAUGACCCGCUGGCAACAUAGGACGAGGGUUGCGCUCGUUGCGGGACUUAACCCAACAUCUCACGACACGAGCUGACGACAGCCAUGCACCACCUGUAUACCGACCUUGCGGGGCACCUAUCUCUAGGUGUUUCCGGCAUAUGUCAAACCCAGGUAAGGUUCUUCGCGUUGCAUCGAAUUAAAGAACAUGCUCCGCUGCUUGUGCGGGCCCCCGUCAAUUCUUUUGAGUUUCACCGUUGCCGGCGUACUCCCCAGGUGGAUUACUUAUCGCUUUCGCUAAGCCACUAAAAGUUGCCCUCUAGCAGCGAGUAAUCAUCGUUUACAGUGCGGACUAC
rnacentral:misc_RNA from 1 species